rnacentral:lncRNA from 1 species
GGCGCUUUCACAAGUUGAUGGACUAAUCAACUAUUUUUUGAGUAAAAAUUGCAUCCUUAGCAAAGUUUUGAAGUAGAAGUUGCUACACCAUUUACCCUUUUUUGCUUUAUCAUAUAGUUUCUUUAUGACCUGUCAACAUUGACUAGAAAAUUGUACUAGAGAGUCAAACUUCGACUAGAAAUUGCUUUAUCAAAUUUUGAACGGACAUUUUUGGUGGAAAAAGUGCUUUAGCUUGUUUUGUACCGAGGUAGAAGUGCUGAUGUUACUACCACAAUUGAACAUUUUUGCCUUUUUUUUUUCUUCUGUUUUGCAAAUCACAACUCAUAAUUUGCCCUGAUUUACAGGUUGUCUUCGGCGGGCUUUGUGUACAGUGCAGGUGAUAGUUUUUAGAAAAAUCAAGAAAUAAGAACAUGUACACAGGAGCAGAUGAUGGGGAUCAGAUGCAGGGGAGCAACAUCUAAAAUGCAGCAAGCAACCAUAUGGCUGCAGUAUGUCUUGUGUGUUUUGGGGAACAGCAAAACAACUUAUGUAGGACAACAUGGAUGAUAGGUUUGCUUAAUGGAUGGCUGUCUAUAGGGGAUUAUGUGAGAAGAGGGCUCAACUAAAGUGUUUUGUACGAGUAGUUGCUUUUGUGUGUGCGCGCAUCAAAUAACCCUGUGUGUAUUUGCUUGUGCUUUUGCUUUUGUAAAAUUUGCCUGGAGCAUGACCAUCCUCCUGGCUCAGUUUUCAAUUUUGGGGUUAGGGAUAUGAAUCCAUGCAAAUUUGUGUCCUGGCAAAAGAACAGACUCCUAAACAACUUGUUAUACGAAGACCUUUACCUGCCAUUUGCCUUUUGUUUUUUGCUUUUUAUCAUAUAGUUG